UACGACGUGGGCUCGCGUUGUUCGGAAUUACUGGGCGUAAAGCGCACGUAGGCGGAUAUUUAAGUCAGGGGUGAAAUCCCAGAGCUCAACUCUGGAACUGCCUUUGAUACUGGGUAUCUCGAGUAUGGAAGAGGUGAGUGGAAUUCCGAGUGUAGAGGUGAAAUUCGUAGAUAUUCGGAGGAACACCAGUGGCGAAGGCGGCUCACUGGUCCAUUACUGACGCUGAGGUGCGAAAGCGGGGGGAGCAAACAGGAGUAGAUAACCGCGUAGUCC
rnacentral:rRNA from 1 species